rnacentral:rRNA from 1 species
GCUUAACACAUGCAAGUCGAGCGGGGAUUGGGUGCUUGCACCUAAUCUUAGCGGCGGACGGGUGAGUAAUGCUUAGGAAUCUGCCAUUUAGUGGGGGACAACAUUCCGAAAGGGAUGCUAAUACCGCAUACGUCCUACGGGAGAAAGCAGGGGAUCUUCGGACCUUGCGCUAAAUGAUGAGCCUAAGUCGGAUUAGCUAGUUGGUGGGGUAAAGGCCUACCAAGGCGACGAUCUGUAGCGGGUCUGAGAGGAUGAUCCGCCACACUGGGACUGAGACACGGCCCAGACUCCUACGGGAGGCAGCAGUGGGGAAUAUUGGACAAUGGGCGCAAGCCUGAUCCAGCCAUGCCGCGUGUGUGAAGAAGGCCUUUUGGUUGUAAAGCACUUUAAGCGAGGAGGA